CUCAGAGGUAAGUAGAGGGGGAUGGAGAAGGUGGGAGUGAAAGUAGGAUGUCACACUCGCGAUGAGCGCCCACGUGUUUUAGAAGAGUUUAUCGCUUUCUUCCAUCUUUUUGUAGAUUCGGAUUUUUAUUUCCUAUUUAUUCUACCGUUUUAAAUAUAAGAUAUAUUUGACGAAUUGAAGUGAAGAGAAGAAAGAAACGGUGCCCAAAGUGAGAAAGAAAACGUAGCACGUGAGACUAGUGUAGCCGAAAAAUUCAACAGCUUGAAGAAGACCGUCCAUGUUUGAACGCUGCAGAUAAUAGAAAGAAGCGUAGAUGAAUACAAACACACCUGUAGAUCUGCAAAGAAAAGAAGAAAAGAAAAAUGGAAUUAAAUGUGAGAAAUAGAUAAGAAAUAAAAUAUAAAAAAGGA